GUCUCGGUCUUGUCUCGGUCCAGAUACACUCUGUUCUUGGUGAUUACUUGGUCUUGGUUUAGGUGGUGUUGACUACAACACCGCUGAACUCAGUGGU